rnacentral:rRNA from 1 species
UUCUUUAAAGAAAGCUCCGGCGCUUUGGGAGGGGCUUGUAUUCUAUUAGCUAGUUGGUAAGGUAAAGGCUUACCAAGGCGAUGAUAGAUAGCUGGUCUGAGAGGAUGAUCAGCCACACUGGCACUGAAACACGGGCCAGACUUCUACGGAAGGCAGCAGUAGGGGAUUUUCCGCAAUGGACGAAAGUCUGACGGAGCAAUACCGCGUGGAGGAUGACACCCUUAGGGGCGUAAACUCCUUUUCUGUGUGACGAUUGUGACGGUAACACAGGAAUAAGCAUCGGCUAACUACGUGCCAGCAGCAGCGGUAAUACGUAGGAUGCGAGCGUUAACCGGAAUUACUGGGCGUAAAGCGUGUGAAGGCGGUUCUUUAAGUCGAUUGUUAAAUCCCAGUGCUCAACAUUGGAGCUGCAAUCGAUACUGGAGGACUAGAGAUGGUGAGAGGAAAAUGGAAUUCCUGGUGUAGCGGUAAAAUGCAUUGAUAUCAGGAGGAAUACCAGAAGCGAAGGCGAUUUUCUGGCACUUUUCUGACGCUAAAGCACGAAGGCUAGGGUAGCAAAAGGGAUUAGAUACCCCUGUAGUCCUAGCAGUAAACGGUGGAUAUUAGACAUUGGGAGCAUCGACCCUUUCAGUGUCGCAGCUAACGCAUUAAAUAUCCCGCCUAGGGAGUACGGUCGCAAGGCUAAAACUCAAAGGAAUUGACGGGGGUCCGCACAAGCAGCGGAGCGUGUGGUUUAAUUCGAUACAACACGAAAACCUUACCGAGACUUGACAUCCUGAGAAUCCUGUAGAGAUACGGGAGUGCCCUUUGGGAGCUCAGUGACAGGUGCUGCAUGGUUGUCGUCAGCUCGUGCCGUGAGGUGUUGGGUUAAGUCCCUUAACGAGCGCAACCCCUAUCCUGUGUUGGAUUUUCACAGGAGACUGCCUGGCACAACCGGGAGGAAGGUGGGGAUGAUGUCAAAUCAGCAUGGCUUUUACGUCUCGGGCUACACACACGCUACAAUGGCCAGCACAAAGGGUCGCGAAGCCGCGAGGUUUUAGCAAAUCCCAUCAAAGCUGGUCCCAGUUCGGAUUGUAGGCUGAAAUUCGCCUGCAUGAAGUCGGAGUUGCUAGUAAUCGUGGAUCAGCAUGCCACGGUGAAUAUGUUCCCGGACCUUGUACACACCGCCCGUCAAGUCCUGAAAGUUGGGAGUACCCGAAGCCGGUAAGCUAACUUUUUAGAGGCAGCUGUCGAAGGUAAAACCAAUGAUUGGGACUAAGUCGGAACAAGGUA